UUUAUUUUAUUAAAUUGUGUUGUAUAACUAACUCCAUUGAAAUCAUAUGAUGAAUACAACAUGCUGUUGUUGUGUUAAAUGUUAAAAUCAGAUGUCUGGCCCGUUAGAAAGCUUACUAACGUGAACUUUCAUAUGACAUUGACUGGUUAAAUCCAAUGAGGGUUAGCCAGUUAGCUAGCUAACGUUGACUAACGAUAUGCCUGCCAUAAAACUAGCCAAACGUAACUAAAUAAUCCGGCCAAACCAAAAUCAAUGUUUAGAGUAAUUCAGUUCAUUGACUUGUAAUAAUUAUUGAUAACAACGGGCUAAUUUAUAGACUUGCAUGGCUAACUGGGGGCGUUCCAAAUCAUCUAAGAGGAAACGUUAGUCUUGCUAGCGUGUCAGACUCUAACUUUGGGUGUGUUCGUAAAUUCAAUAUGGGUGUUCGUAAAUGUAGAUCGUUGUCAGAUUGUCCGUUUGUAAAUUUAGAGUUUCGCUCUCGGAGAGUUCAGAGCGCACACCCGGACGCUUUGCCAGACAAGCACCCAAGCUAACUGGCUAACGUUGGGUAGCUUGCUGAUUGGGUAGCUUGCUGAUUAGCUUACAUCCAGACACACGAGAGAACACUUCACUCUGACCAUUUUACUCGCCCAGCAGAGCUGCUGGUUAGGCUGUUUUUAUGUUAUCCAGAGCGUUGGUGACUGUAACAUGCUGACCACACCGCAUACGCGAGUAUUGCAAAAUCCAUUUACACAUACAUGUUAUUCAAUCAUUGCACCCACACUGCUCGUGCAUAAUUAAGUUUCUGUGUGGCCAGCCACUAAAAUAGAACUUGGUUCUUUUUGUGAUGCUCAAGCACUCCCAUCUCCUCAUUGGAUUUUAGGCGUAUAUACCCACGUGAGUGAUUGAAAGCUGAACUGAGGUCCACAUUCGGUUCAUCUUUAUGGUAAUGCACCGUAAAGGUGGUUGCCAACCGCCAUCUAAAGUCCAAAGAAGAAAAAGAAGCCUGAAGGAAUUUACCGUUUUAUCUGUGCAUUAAUUGUUGGAGUAGAGGACCUUGUACAUUUCAGACAGCAAGGUGGUCAUUCUUGCUCAUUGGCAUGUUCUAUGGCAAACAGAGAUAUGACUAUCUGAAGCCAAGAGCUGAGGAAGAGAGGCGUGUUGAGGAAGCAGAGAAGAAGAUACGAGAGGACCAGGAAAAAAUAGCC